UACAGAGGUCUCAAGCGUUGUUCGGAUUCAUUGGGCGUAAAGGGUGCGUAGGCGGCGCGGUAAGUCGGGUGUGAAAUCUCGGAGCUUAACUCCGAAACUGCAUUCGAUACUGCCGUGCUUGAGGACUGGAGAGGAGACUGGAAUUUACGGUGUAGCGGUGAAAUGCGUAGAUAUCGGGAAGAACACCCGUGGCGAAGGCGGCUCUCUGGGACGGUACUGACGCUGAGACGCGAAAGCGUGGGGAGCAAACAGG
rnacentral:rRNA from 1 species